UACAGAGGUCUCAAGCGUUGUUCGGAUUCAUUGGGCGUAAAGGGUGCGUAGGCGGCGCGGUAAGUCGGAUGUGAAAUCUCCAGGCUCAACCUGGAGGGGUCAUUCGAUACUGCCGUGACUAGAGGUCGGUAGGGGAGUGUGGAAUUCCUGGUGGAGCGGUGAAAUGCGCAGAUAUCAGGAGGAACACCCGUAGCGAAGGCGGCACUCUGGGCCGAUACUGACACUGAGGAGCGAAAGCGUGGGGAGCGAACAGG
rnacentral:rRNA from 1 species